AGAGGAAGUAAAAGUCGUAACAAGGUCUCCGUAGGUGAACCUGCGGAGGGAUCAUUACAGAGUUCAUGCCCUCCGGGUAGAUCUCCCACCCAUUGCUAUAACUACUCUCGUUGCUUUGGCGGGCCGCUGGGCCCUGCCCGGCCGCCGGCCCCGGCUGGCGCGUGCCCGCCAGAGACCUCACAGACUCUGAAUGUUAGUGUCGUCCGAGUAACUAUACAAUCGUUAAAACUUUCAACAACGGAUCUCUUGGUUCUGGCAUCGAUGAAGAACGCAGCGAAAUGCGAUAAGUAAUGCGAAUUGCAGAAUUCAGUGAGUCAUCGAAUCUUUGAACGCACAUUGCGCCCUGUGGUAUUCCGCAGGGCAUGCCUGUUCGAGCGUCAUUUCAACCCUCAAGCCUCGCUUGGUGUUGGGCCCUGCCCGCCGCGGCCGGCCCUAAAGACAGUGGCGGCGCCGCCUGGCCCUCAGCGUAGUACAUCUCUCGCUCCAGGGUCCGGCGGCAGCCUGCCAGAACCCCCCAACUCUGUGGUUGACCUCGGAUCAGGUAGGGAUACCCGCUGAACUUAAGCAUAUCAAUAAG
rnacentral:rRNA from 1 species